rnacentral:rRNA from 1 species
AACGAACGCUGGCGGCAUGCCUAACACAUACAAGUCGAACGAGACCUUCGGGUCUAGUGGCGCACGGGUGCGUAACGCGUGGGAAUCUGCCCUCAGGUACGGAAUAACUCAGGGAAACUUGAGCUAAUACCGUAUAAUGACUUCGGUCCAAAGAUUUAUCGCCUGGGGAUGAGCCCGCGUCGGAUUAGCUAGUUGGUGAGGUAAAGGCUCACCAAGGCGACGAUCCGUAGCUGGUCUGAGAGGAUGAUCAGCCACACUGGGACUGAGACACGGCCCAGACUCCUACGGGAGGCAGCAGUGGGGAAUAUUGGACAAUGGGCGCAAGCCUGAUCCAGCAAUGCCGCGUGAGUGAUGAAGGCCUUAGGGUUGUAAAGCUCUUUUACCCGGGAAGAUAAUGACUGUACCGGGAGAAUAAGCCCCGGCUAACUCCGUGCCAGCAGCCGCGGUAAUACGGAGGGGGCUAGCGUUGUUCGGAAUUACUGGGCGUAAAGGGCGCGCA